rnacentral:rRNA from 1 species
ACGGAUUCCUCGGAGUCUGCAGGAAAAGGUGGCCUCUAUUCAUAAGCUACCGUAUCAUGAUGGGUCCGCGUACCAUUAGCUAGUUGGUGGGGUAAUGGCCUACCAAGGCGACGAUGGUUAGCUGGUCUGAGAGGAUGAUCAGCCACACUGGAASUGAGACACGGUCCAGACUCCUACGGGAGGCAGCAGUGGGGAAUUUUGCGCAAUGGGCGAAAGCCUGACGCAGCAACGCCGCGUGAGUGAUGAAGGCCUUCGGGUCGUAAAGCUCUGUCAGAGGGGAAGAACCGCCGGGUGGCUAAUACCUGCCUGGUCUGACGGUACCCUCAAAGGAAGCACCGGCUAACUACGUGCCAGCAGCCGCGGUAAUACAAG